UUGUGUCAUUGUCAUUUAUUGGCGUAAUGCUCUUGAAAUAACUUCCAAACUAGCUACCACCAAAUCAUAAACAACGACAACUCGAAUCAUCCUGGGAGAAAAACUUGGUUAAUUAAUAACUAGGAGGCAAUCUAGCAAUAGAGAAAAUAUUUUUAAAUUUAAAAAUAAGUCUAAGAUAGCCAUAUAAUAUUAAUUACCAAGACUGGCAUUUAAAGUUCAAACGAAGUCGUUGAAGAAACCACUGAACAGAGAACGAAAGUGAAAGUGAAAGACUAACCGGAGACAUUGUUUACAGGUCUUUGCAUGUGGGUCGAUCAAGAACAAAACUGUGUCUAUUUAUUUCAAAUAUAACAAGAAGUUAGACAUGAAAGUCAAAGGGAUUAUUUUGAUGCUGCACUUCUUGCAUUUAUGUUCAAUGUAUGACAGCAGUAAGACAAAAACAACUAAUGGCCUACACGCGGAAAUACCAGAUGAAAUUCCAAGAAAAACAUCAGAAAACGAGAUUACGUUACCAGGAUUGAUAGCAAUUAUUUGCAUAGUCACCAUCGUCAUCAUUGCAUUAGUUUAUUGUACUGUCAAGAAAUACUGUUUGAGUAACCAGUCGGCCUCACUAGAAGUGUCACAGACACUAGGCGGAGAAUGUUUGCCUCCUACAAAUACAAGUACUUACCGUGUAACAAGCCAGGUGUAUCCAUCCUGUGCACCGCCGGCAUACCCCACGGCCAGUGAUAUCAGCCAAUCAGCACAACCAGAUAAUGAUAAUUUCUUACCACCUCGCUAUUCUUCAAUAUUCGAUGACAAUGGACAGGAAAUCGUCCCAGUCAACCUAUGAAUAAUACUGAUCAUAGUGGUAAAAAAGCCACUUCCUUGUACAUUGGAUUGACAGGGGCCGCGGAGCACCCUAAAACAUAGAGGGGGGGGGGGUAAGAUUGGAAACUUAUAAGACUACAUAUAGGGAAAGGGCAAGGGUAGGAGAGGGUGGCUAUGCCCCUCCUGCCCAACCCCCUCUGCGGCCCAUGUUUGAGUCAGUCGACCGCCUCCCUAACACAUCUUCAGUACGUUUUCCCCAAGUAGCUAAAGGUUGCACGCACAUCCAAACCCGACGAAGUUUUAAAGACAAGCUUUUAGAAUACCCACUCGGCUAUACUCUCAGCGCGUUCGCAGAAUCCUAAAACUCACUUCUAAAAAGUCGUCUUAAAUGGUCUUAAAUGAGUUAGGGAAAAAUGAAAACGCCAAGAGUAAAAAGUGCACCAUCUUUGGCACAUAAUAGUAUUAGAAAAAUAGACAUGGCCACCGUGUUGGUUGAUGUAAUAAAAAUAUCAGACCAAAUCUUUCGUUCUGUUAAACCAACAUGGUGCUUCUGUCGGUGUGAAGUCUUGAGCCUUAAAUGCCAUGGUCCCGGAGUUGUUAAAUGACGUCAUUUCAAGGGGUUAUAUGAUACGAGGUCAUAUAAAUGACUGUCGAUUUAGCUUGAAACCACGUUUACUGACAAGCUUCCACCAAAUGGCGAAUAUUUUUGUAAUUUUCGUAAAUUGAAAAUAUCCUUUUCCCAUUGCAAACCACGUUUUAAUCCACGUAAAACAAAAUAAAAAUCAAUUGUAAAUGAUAAUAGUUUUAAAAUAAUAUUGUAAAUAUGCAGAGUUGAAUGAAUAUGGACCAAAUUUUUUGUUAUCAAAAUACACUUUCAACUUUUUAUUUGUUUUCAAUAAUAUUAUUUAAUCAAAUGUACUUAUAUAGCGCUGCAUCCAUAUGUCCAAAGUACUCAUAUGAGAAGCUAAUCGAUUGGUAAUAAAAUAUUGAUUUGCAAUAA